rnacentral:sRNA from 1 species
ACGAUUGUUUACUAGGGUUCCGCCGGUUGUUCCAACGCCGGGCUGGUCCGAGAGUAAACCGCUCUUCUCGAAGGGCGACACGGAAGGAUAAAAACCUGGGAGAU